rnacentral:rRNA from 1 species
CGAACGAAGCACUCUAUUGAUUUUCUUCGGAAAUGAAGAUUUUGUGACUGAGUGGCGGACGGGUGAGUAACGCGUGGGUAACCUGCCUCAUACAGGGGGAUAACAGUUGGAAACGACUGCUAAUACCGCAUAAGCGCACAGGGUCGCAUGAUCCGGUGUGAAAAACUCUGGUGGUAUGAGAUGGACCCGCGUCUGAUUAGCCAGUUGGCAGGGUAACGGCCUACCAAAGCGACGAUCAGUAGCCGACCUGAGAGGGUGACCGGCCACAUUGGGACUGAGACACGGCCCAAACUCCUACGGGAGGCAGCAGUGGGGAAUAUUGCACAAUGGGGGAAACCCUGAUGCAGCGACGCCGCGUGAGCGAAGAAGUAUUUCGGUAUGUAAAGCUCUAUCAGCAGGGAAGAAGAAUGACGGUACCUGACUAAGAAGCACCGGCUAAAUACGUGCCAGCAGCCGCGGUAAUACGUAUGGUGCAAGCGUUAUCCGGAUUUACUGGGUGUAAAGGGAGCGCAGGCGGUGCGGCAAGUCUGAUGUGAAAGCCCGGGGCUCAACCCCGGUACUGCAUUGGAAACUGUCGUACUAGAGUGUCGGAGGGGUAAGUGGAAUUCCUAGUGUAGCGGUGAAAUGCGUAGAUAUUAGGAGGAACACCAGUGGCGA